UUCCAGAGUACGGCCAGACACGUGAAACCUGGUCGGAAGAUGGGGGGACCACCCUCCAACCCUAAAUACUACCCAGUGACCGAUAGCGUAUAGUACUGUGAAGGAAAGGUGAAAAGCACCCCGGGAGGGGAGUGAAAAAGAACCUGAAACCCUGUGCCUACAAGCACCUAGAGCACGUCAAAGUGUGAUAGGGUACUUUUUGUAGAACGGUCCGGCGAGCGAUUGUAUGCAGCAAGGUUAAGGACUUAAGGUCUGGAGCCGAAGCGAAAGCGAGUUUGAAAAGGGCGUUAAGUUGCAUAUAAUGGGCCCGAAACCGGGUGACCUACCCAUGGUCAGGUUGAAGUGGAAGUAAAAUUCCAUGGAGGACCGAACCGACCUCCGUUGAAAAGGCGGCGGAUGAACUGUGGGUAGCGGAGAAAUUCCAAUCGAACCCGGAGAUAGCUGGUUCUCCCCGAAAUAGUUUUAGGACUAGCCUCAAGUUAGAUACCUGGAGGUAAAGCACUGAAUAGCCUAGCGGCCGAGAGGUUAGCGAAGCUUAUCAAACUCAGAAUGCCAGAGUAUUGAUGCUUGGGAGUCAGACAGUGUCAGAUAAAUGUCAUUGUCAAAAGGGAAACAGCCCAGAUCUACAGCUAAGGUCCCAAAGUCAGGUUAAGUGGAAAACGAUGUGAAGAUACGCAGACAACCAGGAUGUUGGCUCAGAAGCAGCCACUCAUUCAAAGAGUGCGUAAUAGCUCACUGGUCGAGCGUCUUUGCGCGGAGAAUUUAACGGGGCUAAACCUGACACCGAAGCUUAGGCAAUCCAGUAAUGGAUUGGGUAGGGGAGCGUUGUAUAUGCGGAGAAACAGUAGCGUAAGCGGCUGUGGAGUGUAUAGAAGUGAGAAUGCCGGAAUGAGUAGCGCGAAUGCAGUGAGAAUCUGCAUGGCCGAAAGCCUCAGGUUUUUGGAGGAAGGUUCGUCCGCUCCAAGUUAGUCGGGAGCUAAGGUGAGGCCGGAAGGCGUAGCCGAUGCACAGACGGUAGAGAUUCCGUCACCACCAAAAGAGUUAAGCACAGGGACACAUUUGAAGUCUCAGAGCCGGGUGUUGGUUCCGGUAGAGAUCGAGGGAA
rnacentral:rRNA from 1 species